rnacentral:rRNA from 1 species
UACGGGGGGGGGCAAGCGUUGUUCGGAAUUACUGGGCGUAAAGGGCUCGUAGGCGGCCCUCUCAGUCGGAUGUGAAAUCCCCAGGCUCAACUUGGGAACGGCAUCCGAUACUGGAGGGCUUGAAUUCGGGAGAGGGAUGCAGAAUUCCAGGUGUAGCGGUGAAAUGCGUAGAUAUCGUAAGGAAAACCAGUGGCGAAGGCGAGUCUCUGGACAGUUACCGACGCUGAGGCACGAAGGUCAGGGGAGCAAACAGG